rnacentral:lncRNA from 1 species
CAGGAUACUACGUAUGCCCCCCGCACCUUUGCAGAACUCCACAGGAAAAAAAAAGAUAUGCUGAUGCAAUCAACCUCCAUGGGGAAUGAUCAACACUAAAAACAGAAAGCUGAGACAAGUGGACCCCUCACUUAGGAAUAUCAGGACACAUCUGGACCUAGGAACUCCAGACUUCUGUAUUAGAUUCAGUGUAUAAGUACCAGUGACAUAGAAUAGUGAAGAGGUCAUGACCCCUCCCAUGCUUAAACCCACAACACUAGCCUGACAGAGUCUAUGCAGUAGACACAGAACCUGAAGAGCAAGGAAUGUGGGACUCUGGAAGCAACUAGCUUGCACUGGCUGCUUAUAACUCUUAGAGAAAGUGGCCGGCUAUGUUAGGCUGGCCUUGUUUCAACUCAGAACACUGUGGAAAGAAGUCCCCAUGUCAAUGUCUACAGAGAGCCUCAGAUCCUACCUCUAGUGAGAGGACUGCUCAAAGGCCCCCAGACCUACUGGAAGGUCCGUGUGUGGACCCAGUGAGAAAGCGACCGUCUGUGAAGAAGACAGAGAGCCCUCAACAAACUGAGUCAUCUGGCACCUUGACCUUGGGAUUCUAGCAUCCAGAAUGUGAUACAGUGAUAUGGAAGUGUAAGCCAAAUAAACGCUUUUCUUCCCAAGUUACUUUGGACAUGGUGUUUUGUUGCAGCAGUAGAAACCCCGUGUUUUUAACCAUAACAACAACAACAACAACAACAACACUCAUAAGAAGGAGAGUUUAUUUGGGCUUAUGGUUCCAGAGAGUCAGAGUCUAUCGUGGUGGGAAGCAUGGCAGAAGGCAGACAUAGUGGCUGAAGCAAGAAGCUGAGAGACCACAUCUCA